UUAACCUGAAUGAGAAUGAGAAACCUGUCUUCAUCAGGACCUCAGACAUCUAACAGCUUUGUGCACACCAAGACAAGUAAUGUAUAUAGUCCUUCUUGUUAUAUAUUUCAGCUCAGAUGGGUGGAAGAGCUUAAAAUUAUGGAGGGAAUUGGGGUUGUGGCUCAGUGGUAGAGUACUUGCCUACUAUGUGUGAGGCACUGGGUAGAGACAAAUGCUUAAAAUCCAACUGUCAUUUUUUUAGAGCUGUGCUGUACAAUACAUAUGGCUAGUUAAGUUGUAAAAAUGAAAUAAACCAGUUUUUCAAUCUCAGUAUCUGUUUGACUAGUGACUACCAUAUUGGACAGCUAGGACAUUUCACCAGUACAAAAAGUUUAUUGUAUACUCUUAGAGCAGAGAUCUGCAAACAUCCUGAAAUGGGCCAGAUCAUAAAUAUUUUAGGCUUGUGCAGCCAUGUGGUCUUUGUAACUAUGCAAUUGUAGUGUGAAAGCAACCUUAGUAUGUCAACAAAAAAACAUGGCUAUGUUUCAGCAAAUUUUAUUUAUGAGCACUGGACUUGGAAUUUCAUAAAAAUCGAGUGUCACAUUUUUUCCAUUCUUAUUUUUGGGGGCCAUUCAAAAACAGGUUACACCGGGUGUGGUGGCUUGGGGGGCCUUAACAGGGCUGGGGAUGUGGCUCAAUGGCCCCUGGGUUCACUCCCUGGAACACCCCCACCCACCCUUAAAAAAAUAAUUUUAAAAAUUAGGUUGUAGCCUAGACAUGCACAGUUUCAGCUACUCAGGAUACUGAGGCAAGAGGAUUGCAAAUUCAAGAUCAGUCUGGGCAACUUGGUAAGACUGCCUCAAAAAAAUAAAAAGGGCUGAGGAUAUAGCUCAAGUGAUAAAGUAUCCUGGGUUUAAUUCCUAGUACCACAGACAACAAAACCCUGUAGGCCGGGCUGGGGAUGUGGCUCAAGCGGUAGCGCAUUCGCCUGCCAUGCAUGUGGCCCGGGCUCCAUCCUGAGCACCACAUACAAACAAAGAUGUGUCCACCAAAAACUAAAAUAAAUAAAUAAAUAAAUCUUAAAAUUAAAAAAAAACAACCACACUGUAGGCCGAAAGCUAGAAUUGGCCUGUGGGAUAUGGUUUGGUGACCCUGUUCUGUAGAUUAUUUGGGCCUUGAAUCAAAUAGCUCAUUAGUUCAGCGUUACCAGUGUGUCCCACUUAAAAUUCCGUGUUAACAGUACUUUUUUCCCUAUAUCCAUACACUCUUUUUUCAUCUCUUAGAGGUAACUGAAGUAAAUUAGUUCUUGUUUCUUUUGAUGGGAAUUGUUUGCUGGGCAUACUUUUAUCAUAGUGGUUCUCUCCGUUUUUAAUGCACAUCUUGGGGAGAUCUUAAGAAAGAAAAUAGCCAGCAGAGCCUUUGAUCAUGAACUUUGUCCUAGGUAGUGAAACAGAAAAAGAAAAUUUUAUGUCAUUGGUAGCUCCAUGGGAUUUGGGUGGUUUUUGUUGUUGAUGGGGGUGGGGAUCCUGGGGAUUGAACCUAGGGCUGUGCUCUGCCCCUGAGCUAUUAGUCCUCUGUAGGCCUUUAAAUCUGGGGUCUCAAUUCCUGACCACAGAUAGGGCUACCCUUGUACAGAGAAGAGGAGAGGUUCCUAAGUCACCACUUAAAAAGGGAUAAUUUGGUGUUUGUGGACCUAUAAUAAUAUCCCAAGAGGUUUCAAUGACAUAAAAUCAUGCACAGAUUUCCUAAUUGAUAACAGUUGUUUCUCUUUUUUUUCCAGCAAAUUUAUGUCCUGUUGUCUUAAGAAGAUGAAGUAAAAUAUUUGAAUAGUUUUGCGGGGGGGGGGGGGGUUGUUUUUUAAAUCCCUUUCUUUUCUCUUUUUAUUCUUUUCCCAUGCUUCAAUGGACAGUGGAAUUAGAUUGCCAGGGUUGUUGGUCUGUGAAUAUCCAAGCUGCUAUUAUAACCUAUAUUAUCUAUAUUUAUUGCUACCUAUAACACAAGCUGUUAUAGGUAGCAAUAAACACAAGUACUGGCCAGGUUUUAGGUCCCAAACCUGUACCAUAUUAAGAGGUAAGUAGGGGACUAUAAUAAGUGUUAUCUCAGACACCUAUCAUUAUUUUAUGUUCUUCUUGCUAAGUUCAAAGAAACUAAUGAAAGUGGUUUUCUGGGGUUUUUUUACAUUGAAAUUUUGGAUCCUGUCUCAAAUUUCAAUGGGGAAAACAAAGCCCAGAGGGGUAACUCUGUAAGCCUCAAAGGGAUGCAAAAAGGUGGCUGAGUACCUAGGAAUUCACACAAAGGAAAACAACCAGCUAAGAGCAAUUAAUUAAGAACUUGAAAAGAAUGAGAAUGACUCCUGUGAAUCUUAUUGCUUAAUUAGGGCUUUAUGAGCAGCUCUAGUUAAUGGACUUGUCAAUAUACACAAUUUCACUGAAUUAACAAAUUAAUUGUAAUACUUAAAAUCAUGUUUCUACUGACUACUAUUUAGGAGUAUAUAUAAAGCCAACUUGCUGGGUUAUAUAUUUGUCAUUUCUGUAGCCUACGGCCUGAUUCAAAGGAACCCUUAUUUGGCCUUCCUUGUCCUUCAGUAAAGCUCCUUUGAGGUGAGAGUGUUCCCUGCUGCAUGUUAAGGGUAACUUUACUACUCCUCAGGAAAAGGGUAACAUCAUGGACAUGGAAUGGAAUUUAUUUUAGAAUACUUCCAGUGAAGCACAUCCAUUUUCCCCUAAAAACAUCUUACAUUAGUGUGUUAUGAUUGUCGAAAUGAAUAGGCUAAUAUUGAUUCAUUAGUAUUUAAGUCAAUAUUUUAUUUAGGUUUUCUUAGUUUUUUUUUUUUUUUUGUUUUUGUUUUUUUUUUUGUGGUACUGGACAUCAAAUUCAGGACCCUGAGCAAGCUAAGCACGUAUUCUUCCACUGAGUUAUACCUACAGUUCCUCUGAAGUUUUUUUUUUUUUUUUUUUAACCUAAAGUCCUUUUGUUUUAGGAUCCCAGUAAGUAUGCCAUAUUACAGGGCUGGGGGUGUAGCUCAAUGGUAGCAUGCUUGCCUACAACAUGUGAGACACUGGAUACAAUCCUUAGCACUACAUUUUUUAAAAAGGUAUUGUGUCCAUCUACUACUAAAAAUAUUAAAAAAGAAUAUCACAUUACAUUUAGGUUGUCAUGCUUCUCUUGGAAAUACAGUGUUUAUCAGCUGAAAAUAUUUUUUUAAUAUUUAUAUUUUAGUUUUUGGUGGACACAACAUUUUCAUGUGGUGCUAAGGAUCGAACCCAGUGCCCCGCACAUGCCAGGCAAGCGCGUCACUGCUUGAGCCACAUCCCCAGCCCAGCUGAAAAUAUUUUAAUCAGGGUAGUAAAUAAUCAGUUUGAAGGUAAAUGAUAAUUACAGUUAUCUGUUCUAAUUAAAAGGGCAUUUAUAAGAAUCCUAAUAAAAAUUAAAGCUAUUUUACUCUAAUAUUCUUAUGGGAAAAUAAUCUGUAAAAUUAGUCACAACAUUACAAACAGAAUGAAAUACAUAUCAAUUGAGCAGAUAAGGAAGUCCAAAAUUAGGCAUUAAGAUACUGUGAAGUUUUUAAUUGUUCAUGGACCUUUAUUCAUUUCUUUGUAUGCAGGGCUGAGAAUUGAACCCAGUGCCUCACAUAUGUGAGGCAAGCACUCUACUAUUGAGCCGUGAUCCCAGCCUUAACUUCGGAGUUUAAAAAAAAAAUGCUGGGGUUGUGGCUGAGUGGUAGAGCGCUUGCCUGGCAUUUGUGAGGAAUAUGUUUAAAAACAAUAUGACAAUGUUGGGACAACUUGAUAACUGUGUGAGGAAAAAAAAUCCCGUUGAAAUUUUGUGGCACAGAUUUAUAUACAGAAAUUAAAUUUGAGAAGAACAAAGAAAGUGCCUUUUUUAAAAAUAUACUCUUACAGUAAGUUUGCCUUCUAAGUUAAAAACAAAAUGAAUGGUAAAUGACUAGAUUAUUGCAAAUUCUGUAUAAAAAAAUAACUGGAGACACAAACUGGUAAAGAUGUUUGCCAAUUGUUGCUUAUUUGUUUUUGUACUGGGGAUUGAACCCAGGAGUUCUUCUCAGUCACUCUAAGUCAAAUAUAACAACCCAACAUGUCUACAAAAGAAAUAAGCAGCAAGUUUGUUAACUUAAAAAAAGCACAUUUGGGGCUGGGGUUGUGGCUCAGUGAGUGGAGUACUCCCCUAGACAUGAGGCUCUGGGUUUGAUCCUCACCACCACAUAAAAAGAAUGGUGUGUGUGUAUGGUGCUAGGGAUUGAGCCCAUGGCCUUGUGCAUGGGAGGCUAGAAGAUGCUAUGUUUUUUAAAAAAGUGCACAUUUGCUUAGGCAAUAGUGCUGACUAUCCACCAAAUACCUGAGAUAGUCAACUUGGAAAAUGCUGGGCUGGAGCAUUUGCCUUGUAUGGCUCUGUGUUUGAUUACUAGCAUCACCAAAAGUUUAUUUUGGUUCAGCUUUAGAGAUGUUAAUUCAAUCCAUGAUUGAGUCACUCUAUGCUUUGGGCCUAUGGUGAAAAAUACUUCAUAACCACAAAGUAUAAAGGAGGAAGGGACCCCUGUCCAAAUGUCUCUUUCAGGACAUGCCUACAUUGACCUGAAAACACCUAUUGGUAAUGUCAAUAUGGUGACCAAGCCUUUAAUUCAUGAGUCCAAAUUUUGGCACCAAUCCCAAUGUGAUUAAAAUAUGAUGUGAAAAUUAUAUGAAAUUCUGGGGCCAGGAAUGUAGCCUAGUGGAGCAUGUUCUUAUUUCACAUUUCUGGAACAAUAUGUAUGUGAAGUAGUUUUUAUGUAUGGAAAGUGUAGAAUAUAUAAGAAGUGGUUGAUAAUAGUUGCCUUUUUUAAUGUAGGGGAAUAGAGGUUGUCAGGAAGGUGGUCAAAUAGGACCGUAGGGGUCUCAUUGCCUUACAAAAAUUAACAGACCUAUAUCAUUCAUCCUCUAACCCCAGACAGCACACUUCAUAUAAUUUUGGAAGGAGUGAAGUUUGCAGAUUUUCAUUGGACCCCAAUAAUACCCUACUGCAAACCUUGGUAAAGUUCACAAAGUGCACAGGGCCCUGGGUUCAAUCCCCAGCACCACAGAAAGUAGGCUUUAGGUUCACAUCUGAAGGGUACAAGCUUAGCUCACCUACAGAUUUACACUAUGUGGCAUUACCACAAUGUCUGGAUAAGCUAGCAGGUGAAGGGCUUCUCAUCUGAGUCCACUCAAAAAUGCGCAAUACCGGGGCUGGGAUUGUGGCUCAGCAGUAGAGCGCUCUUCUAGCACGUAUGAGGCUCUGGGUUUGAUCCUCAGCAUCACAUAAGAAUGAAAUAAAGAUGUGUCCAACUACAAUUAAAAUUUUUUAAAAAUGUUUAAAAAAUAUUUUUUCUUAAAAAUGUACAACACCAACACAAUAGCCAUAGGGGUCAUUAACAGCCAGGAAACAUGAGCCUACCAAAUGAAGUAUCCCCUGUUCCAGAGUAAUGGAGAUUUACAAGUUGCCUAGGAAUUCAAAAUAAGCUUGAGAUGAUCCAAAUUCUGGACCUGAAGAACACAGUGUCUAUUUCUACCAACCUGUACUCCCUAGCACUUGGGAGACUAAGGCAAGAGGAUUGUGUGUGGCUAACCUACAAAGGACUUAUCUUGAAAAUGACAGGAUGAAAAUGGUAUGUAAGCAAGCAGAAGGCCCUAUAUUCAAUCCCCAGUACCAUAAAAAUAAACUGAAUUUUUCAUAAAGAGCUUCAGCAGACUCCAAGAUGAUGAAUCCUGGAAUGGUGUUAUCUUGGGAGGCUUAGGCAAGAUGGUCCCUUAAGGCCAGCCAGGGCAAUAAUAAGAUCCCAUCUCAGUCAUUUGAAAUUCCUACCUAGGGGAAGUAAAAGCCUGAGACUUAUCAGAUAACAAACAAAUGAAUAUGCAUUGUGGGUGCUUUGGAAGAAGCAAAAUGAAAGUUGCAGGUUUUCGUUAUAAAGUUCCCAAAUUUGGAGAGGGAGAUGAAUAGAUUAAAUAUUAAGAAAUCAUUACUGAGACAAGUUGUAAUCAAGCACUCGGAAGGCAAAGCAUUGCUGGGUGUUGUCUACACUUGUAAUCACAGCAACUCUGGAGGCCGAAGCAAAAGGAUUGUAGUUCUUUCCCAGCUUUAGCAGUUUGACAAGACCCUUUCUCAAAAAGGUAUGGAGGUGCUGGUCACAUGGUAAGCACCUGUAACCCCAGUGGCUUGGGAAACUGAGGCAGAGGAUUAAGAGUUCAAAGCCAGGUUCGGCAACUUAGCAAGGCCUUAAGCAACUUUAGAAGACUGAGUCUGAAUUUUUUUUUAAAAAAAAUGUAAAAGGUCUGGGCAUAUGGCUUAGUGCUUAAGUGCCUCUGGGUUCAAUCCCUGGUACCAAAAAAAAAAGACAGUCCCAGGGCAUUCAAAUCUAUUCCAAUAGAAGAUUCUGAGGCUGAUAUUCUGCUGAAGACAAUAUUGCAUAAGCUCUGACCAUAGGCAAGCAGUCCUCCCCUCCUGACCCCUGUGCUGGGGGUCAAACCUUGUACAUGUUAAGCGCACAUUAUGGACUGGGGUUGUGGCUCAGUAGUAGAGCACUUGCCUCAUACAUGUAGAGCAGUGGGUUCAAUCCUCAGCACCACAUAAAUAAAGGUAUUGUGUCCAUCUGCAACUAAUUUAAAAACACAUUAUACUUUGUUUCCCAUUUACAAGCAAAUGCAUGGCACAUGAUAUUAGUCUCAAAUAUUGACUGCUAGCAGGGUGCAGUGGUGCACACCUGUAAUCUCAGUGACUUGGGAGGCUGAGACAGGAGGAUUUCGAGUUAAGACCCAGCCUCAGCAAUGGUGAGGCACUUAACAACUCAGUGAGACCCUGUCUCUAAAUAAAAUACAAAAUAGGGCUGGGGAUGUGGCUCAGAGGUUGGUUGAAUGCCCCUAAGUUAAAUCCCCAGUACCAAAACACAAACAAAUAUUGACUGCUAAAUGUAAAAAUGAUUGACCUUAAAGGGUAUGGAUACCAUUAUGUAAUCUUUUCUACUUUAUCUAGUUUAAUUCUUUCAAAAUUUAAGAAAAAUAUUAUUGGGCUUGGGGUGUAGCUUAAUGAUAAAAGUCCUUGCUUAGAAUACAUGAGAGCUUGGAUUUGAUCCCCAAAGUGGCGGGGAGGGUGUGGGGGUAUUUAGGGCUAAGGUGGUAGGUAGCUCAUAGAUAAAGUACAUGCUUAUUAGCAUGCACCAGGCCCUUCACUGAGUCCAGCACCAAAAACAAUUUUAUAUAUAUAUAUGUGUGUGUGUGUACAAACAUGUAUUUCUCAUGACUUCCUAUAUUUAACUAAUUUGUAUGUUUUAAUGGAUCUUGUCCUUCAUAUAUGUAUAUUUUCUUCUCAGCUCAAAUACAGAUGUUAUCUUGGCAUUAAAAGUUUCAUCAUUUUGGGCUGGGGAUGUGGCUCAAGCGGUAGCGCGCUCGCCUGGCAUGCGUGCAGCCCAGGUUCGAUCCUCAGCACCACAUACAAACAAAGAUGUUGUGUCUGCCGAAAACUAAAAAAUAAAUAUUAAAAAAAUUCUUUAAAAA
rnacentral:lncRNA from 1 species